rnacentral:rRNA from 1 species
UACGUAGGGCGCAAGCGUUAUCCGGAAUUAUUGGGCGUAAAGAGCUCGUAGGCGGUUUGUCGCGUCUGCCGUGAAAGUCCGGGGCUCAACUCCGGAUCUGCGGUGGGUACGGGCAGACUAGAGUGAUGUAGGGGAGACUGGAAUUCCUGGUGUAGCGGUGAAAUGCGCAGAUAUCAGGAGGAACACCGAGUGGCGAAGGCGGCUAUCUGGAUGAGUAUUGACACUGAGGCUCGAAAGCGUGGGGAUCAAACAGG